GAUGAACGCUGGCGGCGUGCUUAACACAUGCAAGUCGAACGGUGGUAGUAAUAUCACAGUGGCGCACGGGUGAGGAACACGUAGCUCAUCUGCCCUCUAGCGCGGGAUAACGGUCCGAAAGGAUUGCUAAUACCGCAUAAGCUCACGGAAUGCAGAGGUCUGUGAGAAAAGGCUUCGGUCACUAGAGGAGGAGGCUGCGGCCCAUCAGGUAGUUGGGUGGUAACGGCGCACCAAGCCGUCGAC
rnacentral:rRNA from 1 species